AAGAAGGAGGUAGAGGAGUGGUAGAAGGAGAGAUGAAUGAGGAGAAGGAGGUACAGUAGAGGAGUGGUAGAGGGAGAGAUGAAUGAGGAGGAGGUACAGUAGAGGAGUGGUAGAGGGAGAGAUGAGUGAGGAGAAGGAGGUACAGAAGAGGAGUGGUAGAGGGAGAGAUGAACGAGGAGAAGGAGGUAGAAGAGUGGUAGAGGGAGAGAUGAAUGAGGAGAAGGAGGUAGAAGAGUGGUAGAGGGAGAGAUGAAUGAGGAGAAGGAGGUACUGAAUGAGGAGAAGGAGGUACAGUAGAGGAGUUGUAGAAGGAGAGAUGAAUGAGGAGAAGGAGGUAGAGGAGUGGUAGAAGGAGAGAGAAAUGAGGAGAAGGAGGUACAGUAGAGGAGUGGUAGAGGGAGCGAUGAAUGAGGAGAAGGAGUUACAGUAGAG
rnacentral:lncRNA from 1 species